ensembl:lncRNA
AGGAUGAAGCCAGACCCCAGUGCUGAACCAUGAAGUCCCCCAGAUUCAGCUCCUGUUGUCAACAACUUUUCAACUUCACCUCCUACCUUCUCCUUACUUUGCCAUCUAUAUCAUCUUUCCAGCCAUACCAGGGUCCCACUCCUAGCCCUCUGCCGAUUGCUGGAACCUUUGAAUAGAUGCCCUUCCUCUCUGAUCUACAAAACCAGACUCAUCUCAUAUCCAGCAGCAAUAUGGCCUCCUUUCUCAUUUACCAUCCCCUGACUAUUGGCCAAUCCACUGUUUACUGAGACUCUUGGCCAAGUCAGUUCCACAAUGGGCACAGACCAAGGGCUCCUGAGCUUGGGUAGAUUCCAAGCUCAGUGGAGACAGGUAGUGGUAGCAGGAGGGAAGGGCUGACCUUGGUCUAGCCUUCAUGUUUCCCUGUACCACAGUCUGAACAUCCUUGGACCACUAGUCUCAUCUCUUUGUUGAGUCUCCACAAAGGCAGGGAUGAGGUCUGGUUCUCGUGUUCCAAUCGGUAAUUGGCCCAGGGAAGGUGCACAGAAAAAUGCUGAAGUCCACGAACUUGGGAUCUGAAUGUUUCCAAUAGGCCUUGUUUACUCAAAGCCUUACCAUUCCGUAUCAUUAAGAUAAUAAUAUCUUAUUCUCAUUGUAUAAUUGUAACACCCUUUCCAUAUUAUUUAGUUGAUCCAUAAGUACUUAAGUACAGUCAAUAAGAUAGGAACUGUCAAAAAAAAAAAAAAGAUAGGAACUGUCACCUUUUUCUUUCUGUCUCCCCUCUCCCCUCCAUCCUCCUAUUUCUUUUUUAAGACAGGGUCUCGUGUAGCCUUGGCGAGCUUCCAACUCACUUGAAGCUUCCAACUCCAACUUGAACUUCUGGAGGAGGGUUCCUCCCCACCUGCAAAGUGCUUGGAUUAUAAAAGUUGUCACCUAGCAUAACCUACCUCCUGAGUCUCCUGAGGACACAGUAUGCCACUAACCUCCCUCCAUUUCCUAAAAGGAUCCAGCUCUACCACUGAGCAUCAUCACAUGGUGAUCCCUUUGCCCUGGGAUAGUUUCCUUCUACUUUCUGGUUGACUCAGUUCUCAGGUUUGGAGCAUUUUCUCAAUGGGAUUUGUGCCCCACCCACCCAGCCACCCACCUACAUGUCUUUGAAGAAGUUAAACAACUGCAAGUGUUUCUAGGUUUCACUAAUGGCAUUUGUCACAUGCCCUGGUACUGAGACUCCUAUCCUGCUUCUCUCUUUGGUUUAACUCAACUUUCUUUUCCAUUCUUCUGUAGGCAGAGUUUUCCUGUCCCAGCAGCCAUUUCCCAAAUAACCAACACUGGGACUUAAUAUUACUUGUAAUUGCUUGGCCAAUAGCUCAGGCUUGUUACCAACUCUUACAUUUUAAAUUAACCUUUAUUAGUAUGGCUUAAACAAAAAGGGGGAAAUGCUAUGGAAUAAUUCUUUUGUGCACUGUGAAGAUUUAUUUGCCACUGUGAUUGGUUUAAUAAACAAGCUGACUGGCCAAUAGCUAAACAGGAUAAAGUUAGGUAGGAAAGCUAAACUGAGAAUGCUGUGAGAAAGAAGGGCAGAGUCAGGAGUCCCCAGCCAGACGAAGAGGGAACAGGAAAUGAAUCUGCCAUGCUAAUACAGGUACUACCAUGUGGCAGAGUAUAAAUGAGGACUAUGAGUAAAUUUUAAAAUGUAAGAGCUAGUUAGUAAUAAGCCUGAGCUAUUGACUGGAGCAUUUACAAUUAAUAUAUGCCUCAGAGUGGUUACUUAGAAGCAGCUGCUGAGACAGAAAAACACUGUCUACAUUCUCCCCCAAUACCCUGUGCCUCAGGCCUUAUGUAUGCAAACCCAAGAGUGAGCCUUACCCCACCCCCCCCACCCAGCCCUCCUAUGCUUUUCUUUUUUCUGCAGGGUAUUUUUUACCACUGCCUUUGCUUGAAGUUUGUCCUUUCUCACCCAGCUCCCUCCCACAGACUGCCCUCCAGUCUAUUAUACUGUCUAGAAGGUUCCUAGAUUCGCCUCACUGCUGUCUUUUCCUUUAUUAAGGUUCUCCCAAGAACCCAUUCCCACCCCAAUAUCUGAAGAGAUGAGACAGACACUCAAGGAUCUAAGACCAAGCUCUAGCCCAUGUCACCAUGUCACCACAGUCUCAUCUCCUACAGUUGCCUGGACUACGAUGGUUACUCCAAACAUGCUGACUGUUCAGAUGUUAUGCCUGUUCUUCUGCUUGCCCUCACACCCUCAUCCUGCAACACUCUACUCAGAUGUGGGCAACAGAAAAAGUUCCCAACCUUAAGUGCCAAAAGCAAGCUAGGUGCCUUUCAUACCUCACCUCAUUAGUUCUCAAAGCAUCUCAUGUUUGUUCCCAUUUACAUACUUGAAAAUUGAAGUUGAAAGCAGAGUGUGGUGGCACUUGCCUUUAAUCCCCAGCACUCCAGAGGCUGAGGCAGUUGCAUCUUUGACUUCAAGGCUAGCCUGGUCUCCAGAACAGUCAGGGCUACAUAUAGAAGCCCUGUCUCAAAAAACAAGAACAAACAAAAGAACCCCUCAAACAAAACAAAACAAAACAACUACAACAACAAACAAAACAACACUGCCCCAAGUUGAAGAAAAGAAGGCUGGCACUGGAUUUGAAGUAAAGUGCACGACUAUGUUCCAUAAUAUUGCCUUGGUCCCUGGUGUUUUGAGACCGGGUUUCACUACAUAGCCUAGGCUGGUUUCAAACUCUUGAUCAGCCUAGUGGUGGUGGCCCACACCUUUAAUCUCAGCAUUCCAGAGGCAGUCUGAUCUCUGUGAGUUCGAGGCCAGCCUGGUCUACAAGAGCUAGUUCCAGGACAGCCUCCGAAGCCACAGAGAAAUCCUGUCUCGCCCCCACCAAUUGGUAGGAUUACUAGUAGUAGACUCCAUCUCUCCAGGUACACACACACACACACACACACACA